rnacentral:rRNA from 1 species
AUUGAACGCUGGCGGCAGGCCUAACACAUGCAAGUCGAACGAGUGGCGGACGGGUGAGUAAUGUCUGGGAAACUGCCUGAUCGAGGGGGAUAACUACUGGAAACGGUAGCUAAUACCGCAUAACAUCAGAUGUGCCCAGAUGGGAUUAGCUUGUUGGUGGGGUAACGGCUAACCAAGGCGACUAUCCCUAGCUGUUCUGAGAGGAUGACCAGCCAAACUGGAACUUGGACACGGUCCUGACUCCUGCGGUAGGCAGCAGUGGGGAAGAUUGCACAAUGGGCUCAAGCCUGAUGCAGCCAUGCCGCGUGUAUGAAGAAGGCCUUCGGGUUGUAAAGUACUUUCAGCGAGGAGGGGUUACCCGCAGAAGAAGCACCGGCUAACUCCGUGCCAGCCGCCGCGGUAAUAG